UAUUUAAUUUUUGGGAGUUGGUAACACUGUCUAAGAACUACUACGUUUUUCAAAAUCGAAAUCAAGACAUCAAUCAAGUUUAUUGUAAUUUUAUUAUUUUUUUUCUAAAUUAUUAUCAUUCUCAACUACUAUGCCUUUAUCAAAACGUAGAAGACUGUUGGCAUCUAAAAAGAAUGCUAAACCUGUGCCCAACUCCAAAGAGUCCGAGGAACAGAAUGUUGCUCGCGGGCGCCUCAAAGGUGCCUUGUUGGAAAUGAUGGAACCACCCGCCGAGGAAUCCGAUGCUUCCACAGAAUAUGUGCCUGCUAAACGUGAAAGACAACGUAGCAGUCCUAAACAACUUGCCUGGUACGAAAGACCUUAUAGAAGACACAUCCCUCCAGAACGAAAGGAACACUCAUCGGGGGAGGAUGAAAAAUCAGAGAUGCGCCAGAAGUCACCGCCGAGGCAGUCCUAUGUGCUGAAGUUGUUUGACAGGAGCGUAGACCUUUCACAGUUCAGCGAGGACUCCCCACUGUAUCCAAUAUGCAGGGCCUGGAUUGCUAACCAGCCUAAGGCCAACUACAAAAGUUAUUUUGAAAGGGAACCAGAAGAGGCUUCAUCAGAAGACAGUAUACAGCUGCCGGGUCCAGAAGGCCCCGUCAUCUCCCGCAUACCAAGCUUGCUGCCCGAGCAGAAAGCAUGCAGCAAAGACAAUAUUAAUUUGGAUUAUUCGUCGGCGCCGCCUCCGAGCAAGGAGCAGCUGUUACAGCAGCACACGUCGCGCUGGGCGGCCGUGCGCGGCGCGUGGCUUCAGCGCGGCGCGCGCGUGGAGGCGCGCUACAGUGCCGCGCAGGCCGUGCUCAACAACAUUCUCAACAACCAGUAGCCUUUUAUCGCUGUGUUAUUAACAACUGCAGUGUUACGUGACAAAGCCAAGCUGGUUUUUUAACAUUUUAAAUUUUAUAGUAUUUUUUUAUUGAUUUGAUUGAUGGUUUGUGGACCUAGGAUUCAAAGAUUAUGUUUGAUUUGUAUUAUUUUACACGUUUUCGAAUGAAACUGUAUGACAUUUUUAUUAGAGUAUUUUACCCUUUUUUUAUGUCUUAAUUUAAUUGUCCUAAUGUAAAUAGAGUAUAAUAAAUUUCACAAAAAAUGUAUUCGAUUGACAAGCGCAAUUACAAUGCAUUUGAAUUUUGUAUUUCAAACCUCGCGAAAACUUUAACCGCCAUUUUAUUUAGGUUCAUAAACUGUCAUAACCUCACUCUGAUUGCACAUUCUAAGUGAAACAGCAUUUUCUAAGUGAAAUAGAUUACAACUACAAUCCAUGUGAUUGUGAUAUCACCUUCGGAAUUCAUCAUGGCGGCUAGUUCGUGCGUUUUAAAUAUUUGCAGAACAGAAAAAAUGCGAAAUAUAAAAUUCAUUAUAUAAUUUUAUAAACUGAAAACAAUAUUUUUCGAUUGCUUAUUGCUAUACAUUUUAUACAUUUUGUUGCUAUCUUGUUUAUACAUUUUUAGAUUUUUUCUCACUUGGUGUGAAAUACUCUAUUUGUUUGUAGUGUUAUAGAUAAUAAUUAAAGAUUAUGAUUAUUUAUGGGAAGAUGAGUUUUGCGAAUGAAACUGUAUGAAUUUUUAAUAUUAUAAUUGAUUACAGAAACGUUUACUUUAUUGA